CCCCUAUGGACACGGAUUUGGGAUUUGGGGUUUGGGCUUUGGGAUGCCGCUCUAUGGGGGCAAGGCUUGUGCACUGGGAGCCCCCAGCGUUCCCUGAGCUGCUCCCUCCGGUGCUCGCUGUGCAUGGAAACCGGGGGGGGGGGACGACGAAGGGGGGGAUGGAAUUAUUUCUGGAAGUGAUGGCGGCCGUUUAUUUUUACUGCAGGGGCUCAGGGAGAGAGAAAGCUCCUCUGGGCUGCGGCGCCGGGACCGACGCUUGCUCCAGAUUUGCUGCGUGUGCAAACAAAGCCCGAGCCGGGGACUGCAAGGCUGCAAAAGCGGCCCCUGCAAAACCCGGGCCCGAAUGCAAUUAAAUCCUUGCAAAUGCAUCCGGGACAAGGCCUGGACCCCAAUGCAAUCGGAGCCUUGCAAAAGAAGCCCUAGCAAAGCCCUGCUCCAAAUGCACGCAAACCCUUGCAAAUGCAUCCACAUCUGCAAAUGCAUCUGUAGCAAAGCCCUGCUCCAAAUGCAUGCAAACCCUUGCAAAUGCAUCCACAUCUGCAAAUGCAUCCAUAGCAAACCCCUGCUCCAAAUGCAAGCAAACCCUUGCAACUACAUCCCAGUCUGCAAAUGCAUCUGUAGCAAAGCCCUGCUCCAAAUGCAAGCAAACCCUUGCAAAUGCAUCCACAUCCGCAAAUGCAUCCGUAGCAAAGCCCUGCUCCAAAUGCAUGCAAACCCCUGCAAAUGCAUCCAGGACAAGGCCUGGGCCCCAAUGCAAUCAGGCCCUUGCAAAAGAAGCCCUAGCAAAGCCCUGCUCCAAAUGCAAGCAAACCCUUGCAAAUGCAUCCACAUCUGCAAAUGCAUCCUUAGCAAAGCCCUGCUCCAAAUUCACCCACAGCAAAGCACUGCCCCCAAAUGCACGCAAAGCCUUGCAAAUGCAUCCAAGUUUGCAAAUGCUCCUGCAGCAAAGCCUUGCUCCAAAUGCACGCAAACCCCUGCAAAUGCAUCCAGGACAAGGCCUGGGCCCCAACGCAAUCAGACCCUUGGAAAAGAAGGCCUAGCAAAGCACUGCUCCAAAUGCAUGCAAACCCCUGCAAAUGCAUCCAGGACAAGGCCUGGACCCAAAUGCAAGCAAAUCCUUGCAAAAGAAGCCCUAGCAAAGCCCUGCUCCAAAUGCCCCCACAGCAAAGCACUGCCUCCAGUUGCAUGCAAAACCCAGCAAAUGAUUCCAAGCCUGCAAAUGCAUCUGUAGCAAAGCCCUGCCCCAAAUGCAAUCAGACCCUUGCAAAAGAAGCCCUAGCAAAGCCCUGCUCCAAAUGCAUGCAAACCCUUGCAACUACAUCCCAGUCUGCAAACGCAUCUGCAGCCAAGCCCUGCCCCAUACCCUAGCACUACCACGGUGCUUGCAAUGCAACGCGCACAUGCAGCCCUGGCCCCACCACGGUGCCUGCAACGCUUGCAACCCCAGCACUGCUGCUCCUGGGGUCCGGAUGCAACUUCAGCCCCGGGAGCACCUCACGCCGUGCAUGCACCUGCAGGAACCUGAUGCUGCACCACUGCAUGGUGUUUGCAGCCCAAGGCCGGGCCGGCGAUGCUGCACCGAGCUGCCCACCAACAGCACCCCAAAAUCCUGC
ensembl:lncRNA